rnacentral:rRNA from 1 species
UACGUAGGGUGCGAGCGUUAAUCGGAAUCACUGGGCGUAAAGGGCGCGUAGGCGGGGAGGUAAGUCGGGUGUGAAAUCCCUCGGCCCAACCGAGGAACUGCGCCCGAGACUGCUUCUCUUGAGUCCCGGAGAGGAAGGUGGAAUUCCCGGUGUAGCGGUGAAAUGUGUAGAGAUCGGGAGGAACACCGGUGGCGAAGGCGGCCUUCUGGACGGUGACUGACGCUGAGGCGCGAAAGCUAGGGGAGCAAACAGG